UACGUAGGGUGCAAGCGUUGUCCGGAAUUAUUGGGCGUAAAGAGCUCGUAGGCGGUUUGUCGCGUCUGCUUUGAAAACUCGGGGCUUAACCCCGGGCCUGCAGUGGGUACGGGCAGACUAGAGUGCGGUAGGGGAGACUGGAAUUCCUGGUGUAGCGGUGAAAUGCGCAGAUAUCAGGAGGAACACCGGUGGCGAAGGCGGGUCUCUGGACAUUUCCUGACGCUGAGGCACGAAAGCCAGGGGAGCAAACGGG
rnacentral:rRNA from 1 species